rnacentral:rRNA from 1 species
UACGAAGGGGGGUUAGCGUUGUUCGGAUUUACUGGGCGUAAAGCGCGCGUAGGCGGCUUUGCAAGUCGGGUGUGAAAUCCCCAGGCUUAACCUGGGAACUGCAUUCGAGACUGCAUUGCUAGAGUAUGGGAGAGGGAAGUGGAAUUUCCGGUGUAGCGGUGAAAUGCGCAGAUAUCAGGAAGAACACCAAUGGCGAAGGCAGCUCUCUGGGACGGUACUGACGCUGAGACGCGAAAGCGUGGGGAGCGAACAGG